CUACGGGUGGCAGCAGUAAGGAAUAUUGCGCAAUGGAGGCAACUCUGACGCAGCCAUGCCGCGUGCAGGAAGAAGGCCUUAUGGGUCGUAAACUGCUUUUAUUUAGGAAUAAACCCCCGAACGUGUUCGGGGCUGAAGGUACUAAACGAAUAAGCACCGGCUGACUCCGUGCCAGCAGCCGCGGUAAUACGGAGGGUGCAAGCGUUAUCCGGAUUUAUUGGGUUUAAAGGGUGCGCAGGCGGGCUAUUAAGUCAGUGGUGAAAUCCCGGGGCUCAACUCCGGAACUGCCAUUGAUACUGAUAGUCUUGAGUUUGGUUGAAGUGGGCGGAAUGUAGCAUGUAGCGGUGAAAUGCAUAGAUAUGCUACAGAACACCAAUCGCGAAGGCAGCUCACUAAGCCAAAACUGACGCUCAUGCACGAAAGCGUGGGGAUCAAACAGGAUUAGAUACCCUCGUAGUC
rnacentral:rRNA from 1 species